AUCUCCCUGCGAUGUUCGUGAUGGUGAGUAGAAAUUGAGCUAACGUAGAUUGAAUCGGGGACCCGAGUCCGCCGGUGGUGUGCCGUUCCCUAGUCGGAAAUGCCUAAAGCCGGAGGCAGGGUUCCCAAUCUGCUGCUGCAGGGUUCAAUCUCACGAGCCACACGGCAAAGCGGGGAUUUC
rnacentral:other from 1 species